AAGACUAUACUUUUAGGGAUCAUUUCUAUAGUUUGGGAUUCAAAAAGUUUUGUUUAGUGGACCAACCUUUUUAUGAUGGGGGUAGG
rnacentral:snoRNA from 1 species